AUGGCUUUUCAGGUCCAAAUGCUUGGCUACAUGCUGCUCAUUGUCACAGGAUCCAGUGGAGAUGUUGCACUGACUCAGUCACCAGCUUCCAUGGCAUUUUCCCCAAGAGAGAGUGUCACCAUCAGCUGCAAAGCCAGCUCAAGUAUAAAUGCAGGCCACUUACACUGGUACCAACAGAAGCCAGGAGCCCCACCAAAGCUCCUGAUUUAUAGCACAUCAAAUCUGGCCUCUGGGGUCCCUGACAGAUUUAGUGGCAGAGGGUCUGAGACAGACUACUUUCUCACAAUCAGCAGCGUGGAAGAUAAAGAUGCUGCAACCUAUUACUGUUUACAGAAGGACAGCAUUCCACACACAGUGAUACAGACUGAAGCAAAAACUUACUUCCCUUCUGAGAACCCAUAUGUUUCUGCACUGAGGCUAUAA